rnacentral:rRNA from 1 species
CACACUGGGACUGAGACACUGCCCAGACUCCUACGGGAGGCUGCAGUCGAGAAUCUUUCGCAAUGGGGGAAACCCAGACGAAGCGACGCCGCGUGAGCGAUGAAGGCCUUCGGGUUGUAAAGCUCUGUCGCCAGGGAAGAAAUGCCAUGGUGUUAAUACCAUCGUGGUUUGACGUUACCUGGAAAGGAAGCCCCGGCUAACUUCGUGCCAGCAGCCGCGGUAAUACGAAGGGGGCCAGCGUUGUUCGGAUUUACUUGGGCGUAAAGGGCGUGUAGGUGGUCAUGACAGUCAGAUGUGAAAGCUUCCUGCUCACCAGGAAAAACCGCAUCUGAAACUCCAUGACUUGAGUUUGGGGGAGGAGAAUGGAAUUCUCGGUGUAGCGGUGAAAUGUGUAGAUAUCGAGAAGAACACCCGUGGCGAAAGCGGUUCUCCACUCUAAAACUGACACUGAGGCGCGAAAGCUAGGGGAGCGAACGGGAUUAGAUACCCCGGUAGUCCUAGCCGUAAACGAUGUGUACUUGGUGUGUGAGGCAUCAACCCCUCGCGCGCCGCAGCUAACGCGUUAAGUACACCGCCUGGGGAGUACGGCCGCAAGGCUAAAACUCAAAGAAAUUGACGGGGGCCCGCACAAGCGGUGGAGCAUGUGGUUUAAUACGACGCAACGCGUGGAACCUUACCAGGGCUUGACAUGUAUUGGACAGCCGGUGAAAGCCGGUUUUCCUUCGGGACUGAUACACAGGUGUUGCAUGGCUGUCGUCAGCUCGUGUCGUGAGAUGUUGGGUUAAGUCCCGCAACGAGCGCAACCCUUGUUCUUAGUUGCCAGCACGUAAUGGUGGGAACUCUAAGGAGACUGCCCAGGUUAACUGGGAGGAAGGUGGGGAUGACGUCAAGUCAGUACGGCCCUUACGCCCUGGGCUACACACGUGCUACAAUGGCCGGUACAAAGGGACGCAAGACCGCGAGGUGGAGCAAAUCCCAAAAAACCGGUCCCAGUUCGGAUUGAAGUCUGCAACUCGACUUCAUGAAGCUGGAGUCGCUAGUAAUGGCGCAUCAGCCACGGCGCCGUGAAUACGUUCCCGGGCCUUGUACACACCGCCCGUCACAUCAUCCGAGUUGGGUGCACCCGAAGUCGCCGUACCAACCUCUUCGGAGGAGGAAGGCGCCGAAGGUGUGUUCGG